rnacentral:rRNA from 1 species
GGCGCACGGGUGCGUAACGCGUAUGCAACCUACCUUAUACUGGGGUAUAGCCCGGAGAAAUUCGGAUUAAUGCCCCAUAUGCUCGUACGACCUCAUGGUCGAGCGAGGAAAGCUCCGGCGGUAAGAGAUGGGCAUGCGUCCUAUUAGCUUGUUGGUGAGGUAACGGCUCACCAAGGCUACGAUAGGUAGGGGGCCUGAGAGGGUGACCCCCCACACUGGUACUGAGACACGGACCAGACUCC